UCUAAAUUUAUUGACGCUGGGAUUGAAGC
rnacentral:piRNA from 1 species